GACUAAGACAUGCGAGUUGUGCGUCUCUAAGCCAUGGUAGAGACGCGGCGUACGGCUCAGUAACAUGUGGCUAACCUACCCUUAGGACGGAGACACCCCGGGAAACUGGGGCUAAUACCCGGUAGAUUAGGAGGCCUGGAAUGGUUUCUAGUCGAAAAGGCGUUGAAACCAUGCUUUUCGACGUCGCCUAAGGAUGGGGCCGCACCUGAUCAGGUUGUUGGUGGGGUAACGGCUCACCAAGCCUAUAACCGGUACGGGCCGUGAGAGCGGGAGCCCGGAGAUGGGCACUGAGACAAGGGCCCAGGCCCUACGGGGCGCAGCAGUCGCGAAAACUCCGCAAUGCGCGAAAGCGUGACGGGGCUACCCCGAGUGCCGUCCGCUGAGGAUGGCUUUUCCCCGGUGUAAUGAGCCGAGGGAAUAAGGAGAGGGCAAGACUGGUGUCAGCCGCCGCGGUAAUACCGGCGGCUCGAGUGGUGACCACUUUUAUUGGGCUUAAAGCGUCCGUAGCUGGAUUGUUAAGUCUCUUGGGAAAUCCGCCGGCUUAACCGGCGGGCGUCUAAGGGAUACUGGCAAU
rnacentral:rRNA from 1 species